GACGAACGCUGGCGGCGUGCUUAACACAUGCAAGUCGAACGGAAAGGCCCUGCUUUUGUGGGGUGCUCGAGUGGCGAACGGGUGAGUAACACGUGAGUAACCUGCCCUUGACUUUGGGAUAACUUCAGGAAACUGGGGCUAAUACCGGAUAGGAGCUCCUGCUGCAUGGUGGGGGUUGGAAAGUUUCGGCGGUUGGGGAUGUACUCGCGGCUUAUCAGCUUGUUGGUGGGGUAGUGGCUUACCAAGGCUUUGACGGGUAGCCGGCCUGAGAGGGUGACCGGCGACAUUGGGACUGAGAGACGGCCCAGACGCCUACGGGAGGCAGCAGUGGGGAAUAUGGCACAAUGGGCGGAAGCCUGAGGCAGCAACGCCGCGGGCGGGAUGACGGCCUUCGGGUUGUAAACCGCUUUCGCCUGUGACGAAGCGUGAGUGACGGUAAUGGGUAAAGAAGCACCGGCUAACUACGUG
rnacentral:rRNA from 1 species